rnacentral:rRNA from 1 species
GAUGAUAUCAUUUUGGUCAGCUCCUCUCAGUCGGCUGCUACUGCGCUUGUUCACUCACUUGGUGCUGAUUUUGCGGUCAAGGACCUUGGGAAGCUUCAUUACUUUCUUGGUGUGGAGGUUACUUCUCGUGCUGCUGGCCUUGUUAUGACGCAGAAGAAGUACUCUCUGGAUUUAUUGCAGCGAGCUGGGAUGCUUAAGUGCAAACCGACGACUACACCCAUGUCUACCACUGAUAAGCUCACUGCUGUUGAUGGUGUGCUUCUUUCUUCUUCUGAUGCGACCGAGUACCGUAGUAUUGUUGGUGGGCUCCAGUACUUGACGAUCACGCGACCAGACAUUUCCUAUGCUGUUAAC